rnacentral:rRNA from 1 species
UAUCCGGAAUUAUUGGGCGUAAAGGGCUCGUAGGCGGUUCGUCGCGUCCGGUGUGAAAGUCCAUCGCUUAACGGUGGAUCCGCGCCGGGUACGGGCGGGCUUGAGUGCGGUAGGGGAGACUGGAAUUCCCGGUGUAACGGUGGAAUGUGUAGAUAUCGGGAAGAACACCGAUGGCGAAGGCAGGUCUCUGGGCCGUCACUGACGCUGAGGAGCGAAAGCGUGGGGAGCGAACAGGAUUAGAUACCCUGGUAGUCCACGCCGUAAACGGUGGAUGCUGGAUGUGGGGACCAUUCCACGGUCUCCGUGUCGGAGCCAACGCGUUAAGCAUCCCGCCUGGGGAGUACGGCCGCAAGGCUAAAACUCAAAGAAAUUGACGGGGGCCCGCACAAGCGGCGGAGCAUGCGGAU